rnacentral:rRNA from 1 species
UACGAAGGGGGCUAGCGUUGCUCGGAAUCACUGGGCGUAAAGCGCACGUAGGCGGUUCUUUAAGUCAGGGGUGAAAUCCCAAGGCUCAACCUUGGAACUGCCUUUGAUACUGGGGAUCUCGAGUCCGGAAGAGGUGAGUGGAACUGCGAGUGUAGAGGUGAAAUUCGUAGAUAUUCGGAAGAACACCAGUGGCGAAGGCGGCUCACUGGCCCGGUACUGACGCUGAGGUGCGAAAGCGUGGGGAGCAAACAGG